UUUUCAUUUUUUUUUCUUUUUAACACUUUACUUUUUAGUUUCGUUGUUAUCUCUUCUAGUCUGUUAUUUCAAUUUCCUUUAUCUUUCCCUCAAGUGUUUUUUACUCUGUAGGUUAAUGCUAGUGAUGAUCGGUCAUCAUCAACAAUUGAAGCAAAAAUUCUUGAUGUAGUGCAGAUGAACUCUGUCACUGUUGACUCGAGGCCAAAGUGCUUGAUGGAGCUCUUGGUGAUGGCAAAGGUGCUGUGGAGGUUAUUCUAAAGAUGGUUUCUGCAGAUAAGAAGUUUGAUACAGGGAAGGAGAAUUUUCCAAAUGAAGAAAAUCAUGAAAGUACAUAGAAAGUUUAUCAUUCAUAUGGAGU